GCACAGACCACCGAAGAGGCAGCAUGUAACUUGCCCAGCUGAGAAAGGGGUUGAGACUGUAAAAGUCUAUGGAGACUUUUGAAGUUGGACUAAAUGCAUUUAGCAUUGUGAUAUGGCCACAAGACUUUGGGGACCAGGAAAUGGAAGGUGGUAAUUGGAAUGCCAAGUGUCCCCGUAGUCUCAAGCAUUUGAAUACUUGAUCCUCAUUUGGUGAUGCUGUUUCAGGAGGCUUAAGAGGGGUUGCCUUGGUCAUGGUGUUCUGUUGCGUCAACAAGAAGGUGACGGCUACAACCCCCAAGCUUUACCUGAGCAGGAGGCACACUGACCACACGUGAUUCAGCAGGGCUGUGGCGCUGCAAUGGAAGACGUUUGCACCACAGGAGGAAACUCUAAAAACAAAACAACUGGCCAACGCUACUUUCUCUUGUUAAGCAGAACUGUGCCUGGACCUCCCUAGGCUCCCCCACACUCUGCACAGCCCGUCGAGUCAGCCCCUACUCUCAGGAUUUCAGGAAAAGACAGAAUUGAAUGA